UGAGGGUGGAGGUGCCUGGGGCCCUUCACUUGCACCCUGAGAGCUGGAGCAGGUCUCUUACGGGAACCAUCUUCAACUCUGUGGAUGCAGGUGGGGGGUGGCCUUUUUCAUCAGGCUGGCC
rnacentral:precursor_RNA from 12 species